GAAGAAAGAGAGAAAUAAAUAAAUAAAGAAAAACAGUGGUUGAAACGCCAUACUCCUACCUUUCUGCUUUCUUUUCAGGGAAUAUUUCUUUUC
rnacentral:ribozyme from 1 species